UACAGAGGGGCAAGCGUUAUUCGGAAUUAUUGGGCGUAAAGGGCGCGUAGGCGGCUUUGCAAGUGACGGGUGAAAUCCCACGGCUUAAACCGGUGGAACCUGCCUGUCGAGACGUGCAUGGCUUGAGACCGAGGAGAGGUGAGUGGAAUUCCCAAGUGUAGCGGUGAAAUGCGUAGAUAUUGGGAGGAACACCAGUGGCGGAAGGCGGCUCACUGGACUGGUACGUGACGCUGAGGCGGCGAAAAGCGUGGGGAGCAAACAGG
rnacentral:rRNA from 1 species